UACAGAGGGGGCAAGCGUUGUUCGGAAUUACUGGGCGUAAAGGGCGCGUAGGCGGCCCGCUAAGUCGAACGUGAAAUCCCCGAGCUCAACUCGGGAACUGCGUCCGAUACUGGUGGGCUUGAAUCCGGGAGAGGGAUGCGGAAUUCCAGGUGUAGCGGUGAAAUGCGUAGAGAUGCGGAGGAACACCAGUGGCGAAAGCGACUUUCUGGUCCUUAACUGACGCUGAGGCGCGAAAGCAUGGGGAGCGAACGGG
rnacentral:rRNA from 1 species